ACAGUCUGUCCUCUGCUCUAGUCCCCUCUUGAAUGGUUUUCCAGGCCUAUGUGGAGAAGCACAGGCUUUCAACUUGGGAGACCUUUGCUUUGCCAGCUGAGUGACCUUUUCCAAGCUGAUUCCGCUUCUCUGAGAUUUGUUUCUUCAUUCAUAAAGUGGAUGCGACCUCGCAGACUUGUGAGGAAGUCACGAAAUAAGGAACGUGGAAGGAGUUGCUGAAAACCUACCACGUGCCAGGCUCCGGCCUUUCACUGCCAACAAGAGAAGACUGUGAUAUGGUCCUGUUAUCAGUGAGCUCACAGAAAAGGGAACAUCCCAGCCUAGCAGGAUGCCAUUUCAGGCGCCAGAGAUACAGAAAUGAAUGAAUGAGACGAAGGUCCCCAUCUUCACGGAGCUUACAUUCUAGUGAGAGGAGACAGGCCAUCAAUGAAUAAAAAGUCAGAAAAAUAUAGUAUAUCAGCUGGCGAUAAGCGUGAAGAUGACAGAGCCUGGAGGAAGGGCAGAGCACACCUGGGCAGCGGCUGGGGGAAUGUGACUUCAAAGGCGGUGCCAUGGAGGGCCUCCCUGAGAAGAGGGCAUUCGAGCAAAGACGCAAAGGAGGAAGACAGCAGGUCCUGGGGACAUCUGGGGAGUGUCCCAGAUGGAGGGAAGAGCAGACGCUCUUUGAAGAUCAAGUUUACUCCCUCCGUUCCUUCCUCCUUCCCUCCUUUCCUUCCUUUUUUGUCUUCAUUUAUU
rnacentral:lncRNA from 1 species